rnacentral:ribozyme from 13 species
AACACAGAACAAAGAAGUACAGAAGAAACAACAACAGGGGGUGAUUUGAGAAGUAGCGCUUCUUUGAGAAUGAAUAUUUAUUCUUCUCAUCUUCUUCCUUCUUCUUCUUCUGAA